rnacentral:rRNA from 1 species
CCUACGGGUGGCAGCAGUGGGGGAUAGUGGACAAUGGGGGGAACCCUGAUCCAGCGACGCCGCGUGAGUGAAGAAGUAUGUCGGUAUGUAAAGCUCUGUCAGCAGGGAAGAAAGAAAUGACGGUACCGGACCAAGAAGCCCCGGCUAACUACGUGCCAGCAGCCGCGGUAAUACGUAGGGGGCAAGCGUUAUCCGGAAUUACUGGGUGUAAAGGGAGCGUAGACGGUUACGUAAGUCUGGAGUGAAAGGCCGGGGCUCAACCCCGGGACUGCUCUGGAAACUAUUUAACUUGAGUGCAGGAGAGGUCAGCGGAAUUCCUAGUGUAGCGGUGACAUGCGUAGAUAUUAGGCGGAACACCAGUGGCGACGGCGGCUUACUGGACUGUAACUGACGUUGAGGCUCGAACGCGUGGGGAGCAAACAGGAUUAGAUACCCUAGUAGUC